rnacentral:rRNA from 1 species
GAUGAACGCUGGCGGCGUGCUUAACACAUGCAAGUCGAACGAUGAAGCCCAGCUUGCUGGGUGGAUUAGUGGCGAACGGGUGAGUAACACGUGAGCAGUCUGCCCCUGACUCUGGGAUAAGCGCUGGAAACGGCGUCUAAUACCGGAUACGAACCGCCAUCGCAUGGUGAGCGGUUGGAAAGAUUUUUCGGUCUGGGAUGAGCUCGCGGCCUAUCAGCUUGUUGGUGAGGUAAUGGCUCACCAAGGCGUCGACGGGUAGCCGGCCUGAGAGGGUGACCGGCCACACUGGGACUGAGACACGGCCCAGACUCCUACGGGAGGCAGCAGUGGGGAAUAUUGCACAAUGGGCGAAAGCCUGAUGCAGCGACGCCGCGUGAGGGAUGACGGCCUUCGGGUUGUAAACCUCUUUCAGCACCGACGAAGCGCAAGUGACGGUAGGUGCAGAAGAAGGACCGGCCAACUACGUGCCAGCCGCCGCCGUAA